rnacentral:ncRNA from 1 species
UAAAAUAGCGCCAGAACUUAAUUUUUAAGUUGACGAGGAUUGGAAUUAUCGAAAAUUCGGCGGAUAUUCCAAAGGUGGUUACAACCAUUAUCUACAAAAAAGCAAAGUAAUUUGCCCGACAAAAAGAUA